rnacentral:rRNA from 1 species
UACGGAGGGUGCAAGCGUUAUCCGGAUUUAUUGGGGUAGGCUGAUUUGUAAGUCAGUGGUGAAAUCUCACAGCUUAACUGUGAAACUGCCAUUGAUACUGCAAGUCUUGAGUGUUGUUGAAGUAGCUGGAAUAAGUAGUGUAGCGGUGAAAUGCAUAGAUAUUACUUAGAACACCAAUUGCGAAGGCAGGUUACUAAGCAACAACUGACGCUGAUGGACGAAAGCGUGGGGAGCGAACAGG